rfam:Singulisphaera acidiphila DSM 18658, complete genome.
GGGGAUGUAGCUCAAUUGGUUAGAGCACCGGCCUGUCACGCCGGAGGUUGCGGGUUCGAGCCCCGUCAUCCUCG